AUGUCCCUCGUCCGCCGCCGCCUCCUCUCCACCGCGGCGGCGGUUGCCGCUGCUCGCGGCCCACCGCCGGUUCGCGUCGCCUUGACGGACUCAGCCGGCCGUGGAGUCUUCGCUACCCGCCCCAUCGCCAACGGCGAGGUCCUCCACUCGGCGCAGCCUCUCGUCACCCAUCCGUCCCGCUCUCUCUUCCACGAGGUGAGCGCGCCCCCACUUGCUUCAUAUUGGCUACGAAUGGAGCGAACUAUAUCGGAUUGGUCUCCUCAGGUGUGCUACCGCUGCCUCAGGAGGAAAGCGGGGAAGGGCGGCGACUCCAGAGGGGACUGCUACUUCUGCAGCGACGCGUGUCGGGAGCAUGCCGAGGGAUUCCAUGGCAUUGAAAAGAAGGCGGAUUGGUCUUUGUUAGAUGACCACUGUAGUUCACGUGGUCUCAAGUACCCAUACAUGGUCAAGCGGCUAGCUUGCAUGGUUAUAUCAGGAGAUGUUGGUGCAGAUUGUCUUGACAUUCUUCAGCCAGCCCAAUUGCACCAGGGUACACUUAUUGAGAUGGAAGAGGAGUUUGAAUUGUUGAAGUCCACUUUUAGGAAGGCAGGGUUUCAGGAAGAACUCACAACUUUUUUGACCAAACAAUGGUACAUCAAUGUACUUGCAAGAAUACGUGUAAAUGCAUUCCGUAUUGAAUUGGUUGCAAGUUCAUAUGAGGAUCUUCUAUCCUCAGCAGUAGCGUCGGUAACAUGUGAUGCAUCAGUUGGCAAUGCUGUAUAUAUGCUCCCCUCGUUCUACAACCAUGACUGUGAUCCAAAUACUCACAUAGUUUGGCUUGAAAACGCAGACGCUAAAUUGACGACCCUUCGUGAUAUUGACGAAGGUGAAGAGCUGCGCAUCUGCUACAUUGAUACAAGCAUGGAUGUGAACGCCAGGCAGAAGAUUCUCACUGAAGGAUUUGGCUUCCAGUGCCGUUGCCAACGGUGCUUAUCUGGGGACUAA
rnacentral:rRNA from 1 species